UGUGUGGGCGUGCCUGGUAGUGUGUGUGUGUGUGUUCUCCUCCCACCUGCAGGUUCCCGCGCUCACCUGACUCCAAACACGCAGCCGGCAUUAAUCAGAUCAUCAGCCACAGUAUUUAUACCCGGGCCCCUCAGACACUUGCUGCCAGUUCGUUGUUUAAACCCAAGUGGAGUCCUGCCUGCCUGCUGCCAAAUCGGCCUGCCUGCCUGCCUUUAUUCCCCAGCCACAGUUUUUCCCCUUGCUCAUUCAAGAUUCAUAUUUUGGCAAUAAAGCCUCUUUGUUCAUUUUUCAUCUGCCUCCUGUGUCUGCAUCUGGGUCCGCUUAAAACUGGUCUUAACAGAACGAACUGGCCAAAAUGGACCCAGCAGACUCAGACAACAUUCGCCAAGCCCUCGCCGCACAAGGAACCCUCGUGGGACAUAAUGACCAAGCCAUCCAUGAAGUUAUGGACACGCUCAAGUCACUCACAUCUAAUGUGGCUAUCACGGGACAACAACUGAACCAGGUUUCCCACCAUCUAGCCGCCGCUACUCAUGCGGUUCCGUCCUCUCCACCUGAAGUUCCACCCUCUCCAGUCCAGUCAGCCCCUCAGUACCGUGAGCCGUCCAUCUGUUGUGUCCAGUUAGUAACUGUUCUAUUCCACACUAUACCUGAAGGUGGUGCUGUAAGCUAAUGCACUAUAGGAAAAGGCAGGAAGUAACUUAUGUUGUUGUUGCUGUAGACUGUUGCCGUGAUGGAGCAGGUGCUUUGCUUCUGUUAAUAAACUCAGUAACCAUCA